rnacentral:rRNA from 1 species
CCUACGGGAGGCAGCAGUGAGGAAUAUUGGUCAAUGGGCGAGAGCCUGAACCAGCCAAGUCGCGUGAGGGAGUACUGCCCUAUGGGUUGUAAACCUCUUUUGUCGGGGAGCAAAAGCCGGACGUGUCCGGCUGUGAGAGUACCCGAAGAAAAAGCAUCGGCUAACUCCGUGCCAGCAGCCGCGGUGAUACGGAGGAUGCGAGCGUUAUCCGGAUUUAUUGGGUUUAAAGGGUGCGCAGGCGGAUUUUUAAGUCAGCGGUAAAAUCGUGGGGCGCAACCCCAUCCAGCCGUUGAAACUGGGGAUCUAGAGUGUGCGAGAGGUAUGCGGAAUGCGUGGUGUAGCGGUGAAAUGCAUAGAUAGCACGCAGAACCCCGAUUGCGAAGGCAGCAUACCGGUGCACAACUGACGCUCAGGCACGAAAGCGUGGGUAUCGAACAGGAUUAGAUACCCCUGUAGUC